UGAACGCUAGCGGCAGGCUUAAUACAUGCAAGUCGAGGGGCAGCACGGUAUAGCAAUAUAUGGGUGGCGACCCGGCAAACGGGUGCGGAACACGUACACAACCUUCCGGUGAGCGGGGGAUAGCCCAGAGAAAUUUGGAUUAAUACCCCCAUACUAUAAUGAUCAGGCAUCCGGUUAUUAUCAAAGGCUUCGGCCGCUUAUUGAUGGGUGUGCGUCUGAUUAGGUAGUUGGCGGGGUAGAGGCCCACCAAGCCUACGAUCAGUAGCUGAUGUGAGAGCAUGAUCAGCCACACGGGCACUGAGACACGGGCCCGACUCCUACGGGAGGCAGCAGUAAGGAAUAUUGGACAAUGGACGCAAGUCUGAUCCAGCCAUGCCGCGUGAAGGAUGAAUGCCCUCUGGGUUGUAAACUUCUUUUACAGGGGAAGAAAGUUAUCUUUUUUAAGGUAUAUUUGACGGUACCCUAUGAAUAAGCACCGGCUAACUCCGCGCCC
rnacentral:rRNA from 1 species